GCCGGGGUGGCGGAAUAGGCAGACGCACAGGACUUAAAAUCCUGCGGAGAGUGAUCUCCGUACCGGUUCGACCCCGGUCCUCGGCA
rnacentral:tRNA from 3 species